rnacentral:rRNA from 1 species
CCCAGACUCCUACGGGAGGCAGCAGUAGGGAAUUUUGCGCAAUGGGCGGAAGCCUGACGCAGCAACACCGCGUGAAUGUUAAGCCCUUCGGGGUGUAAAGUUCUGUCAAUAGGGACGAAUUUUGACUGUACCUAUAAAGGAAGCACCGGCUAACUCCGUGCCAGCAGCCGCGGUAAUACGGGGGGUGCAAGCGUUGUCCGGAAUCAUUGGGCGUAAAGCGUUCGUAGGCGGCAAGGUAAGUCUGAUGUUAAAGCCCGGGGCUCAACUCCGGUUCGGCAUUGGAUACUAUCUAGCUAGAAUGUGGUGGAGGUAAAGGGAAUUCCUGGUGUAGCGGUGAAAUGCGUAGAUAUCAGGAGGAACAUCGGUGGCGAAAGCGCUUUACUGGGCCAUUAUUGACGCUGAGGAACGAAAGCCAGGGGAGCAAAUGGGAUUAGAUACCCGAGUAGA